UGAGUGCCUAAUUAAUUAGUUCCGUAGAAAUUAAACCACAAAUAAUAUACAUAUCCAACAUGAAAAUCUGUUCUACCUUUCUUAUUAUUUCUCUCUGUGUUCUUCAUACUACUCUUAUAGCCACACAGGCAAGACCCUUGCCACUUAUUUUCGAUUGUGGAAGCAAAUGGAUAAUGAAAAAUGAUAAUUAUUAUGUGAAUCGUCCAUCAAGAGGCACACCACCGCCACCAAAAGUAAAUCCGCCACCAAAACCAGGAGUUGGAGGAGGAGUUUCAUCACCACCACCACCCAACAACAACAAUAAUGAUGUCAUUGCCUACAAAUUCUCCUCUUUGGAUUUCAUUCCAAUCCAUAACACUGCCUCAGCUUGAUUUACAAAUGUUUAUAAUAUAUAAUUAAUAAUAUAAUAAUACUUCUUUCUUGGAUCUGGAUGAUUAAUUACUAAAUAGAUAUGUAUUGGUAUGUUUAUUAUUAGAUGAAAACUCAGGUACAGUCGAUUUCACGUGAAAUUAAUAGCUGAGAGCUGUUAGAUGAAAAUUUAGUCAAAUCAGUCAAAUCAUGUAUCAACUUCACGUAAAGUCGAUUGCACCUCAGUUUCUACCUUAUUAUUGUGUUAUAUGUGACCUUUAAUUUGAUUAAUAAUAUAGCAAUUAGAAAAUAA